GAUUGAAACAUCGCAGAGAGAGAGAGAGAGAGAGAGAAGAAGAAGAAGAAGAAGAAGAAGAAGAGGAAGAAGAUUUCUGAGAUCGAACGUCGCAGCAACGAAGAAAUUCAUCGCAGAAGGUUCUUGAGUUUGUGUUAUAGUACUACCAUCAUGAGAUUCAAGAAAGGGAGUAAGGUUGAAGUUUUGAGCAAAAAGGAGGUGCCUUCUGGCUCAUGGCGUUGUGCCGAAAUAAUCUCUGGGAAUGGGCACAAUUAUGAUGUUAAAUAUGAUGUAUCGUCAGGCAUCACCGAAGAGGCGGUUGUUGACCGAGUUUCCAGAAAAGCCAUUAGGCCAUGUCCUCCUCAAUCAGAAGGUGCAGAUAAUUGGAUGCAAGGUGACCUUGUAGAGGUGUUUGACAAUGUCUCAUGGAAAAUUUCAAUAAUUUCCAAAGUUAUCGGUGGGAACUACUUUUUAGUCAGACUUCUUGGAUCCUCCCAGGAAUUCAAGGUCCAUAAAUCUGACAUCAGGGUGCGGCAGUCUUGGAAAAAUAACAAGUGGAUUGUAGUUGGAAAGGGUUCUGUGAAUUGUGAAGAUGGUAAAAAUAAUGAACUGUCAACUAUGAAGUAUUAUAAGAAGUCAACCUUCCAGGAGCCACAAAAAUAUUCAGAGAUGAAACUUCAUGCAGGGGAUGAUUCUUUUCCUGUUGAGGACAAUGUUGGUUACCAGGAGUCCCAUAUGGUUUCCUCGAAAACCUUAAAAAGAGGAUCACCUUAUUGUUCAUCUUAUGCUGAAGCAUAUGCAGGAAUGGGCUUCAAAAUUAGWGCCAUUGAAAAAGCGGGUAGACGUCAACGAUUGGUUCCAGGGAAUCCACCUCCAUUACAUGAAAAGGGCCAAAGUUGGAGGCUUGUUCAACUUGCUUCCAAAGGUCUAAAGAUGAUGGUGGAGUAUAGCCACCUCUCUUCCUGCUGUAUACAAUGGGGCAGUAUCUGCAUCCAAUUCACUACAAAUAAAUCAGUAUGUGGAUGCUUGAAAGGGCUCAGAAACUGUCACACAACAAUAUGAUUAAGGCAGAUUUACCAUUAUAGAUGGUGGGGCAAAUGUUGCCUAUCAUGCUGAGUUCAAAGAUGGAAGCUGCUUCCUUGUUUAAGACAAGGUGAAUCAAACAAGGAAGUGGAGUGCCUGUUAGUAAGCUGAAAUCCUGGGAGGAUGUUCCAAGUCAUGAAGCGGUUAAUGGCAGAUGCUCUUUUGCUGUUUUAUGAUAUCUCAAGUUACUUCUCAGAGGAACCUUUUUUCCUGGGCAUGUAGAUUCUAUAUUGAGCUGCGAUGGAUGGUGUGAAUUGUGGAAUCCCAUGAACCGCUCUGAAUGCAAAUUGCGGCCUAUUUUGUAAUGCCGGCCAAAGUGGGGGCAUGCUAUUAUGUGCGGGAGAUAAACUUGAGUUUGGGGGUCCACGGGCGCAGAUGAUUCUGGUUCGAAAGCGAGCCGACUCCUGGCAUGCUCUGAAGACUAGGUGGAAAAUGUACGAUAAACUAAUGUAGACACAUGGGAACUAUCUCCAGUGGGCCGAUAAUUUCUGCAACCAGAUCUAAAGUCCUGCAUGUCCUAAUUGGUUAGUGUUUCAUGUGAGCCCCCCCCACCCCAUCUUACUCGUUUCUAUUGUCAAUUUGUCAUUCGAGACUGUCUUCGGAAUUUCAGUUCCUGCUUUCUGAUUUAAUUGUUUUUUAAGGUUUGAUUGUUUGAAGACGGCAAGUUAUCAAGAUUUGGUAGAUAAAAGGAAAAUAGGUUGGUUUGCUAAAUAUAAUAUUUUACGCUGUUUUUUUUUUUGGACUAGGCUUAGAUUGGGUUGGACUAGGCCAUGGUUAGUUGGUCUGGACCUGAGACCCUUACCUGAACUUGUGUUGGAAAUUGGAACAGAUGAUUGAGCUAACUUCAACAAAAUGCAGCAUGAAGAGAGUAUGCGGUGUACUGCAAAUUGUCCAUGCUCUGCGCCUAUGGAUAAGUAGAUACUGGGUCUGGGUCACGGUUAGUAUCCACACCAUACUCCAAUG